GAUCCUCACCAAAAGAAUCCAAAGAGGAUCAUGUUGGCAAAAUGUGUACAUGGCCACAUAAGAAAACACUGUUGGCAAUAUAUCUAUGGGUCGUUUCCAAUCAAGGAAAGGGAUCAUCUUGAGAUCCCUUCCUCUUAAUCCACAAAAUUAGGAAAUUUAUGCCGUUGAAAAUUGAUCCAACGGUUGAAGUUAUUAUAACUUUUAAAGUGAGUCCCUAUUUGUAGCCGUUUAAUUAAAUUUUAAUGGUACAAAUCCCGUGAUUUAAUGAAUUAGGAGAACGGGAUCUAGAGAGGUUCCUCUCCUCCAAUCAAAACGAGAAGCAGUGCCAAUUGUGCAAGGCGGUGACAAAAAGCGUCAGGUGAAAAUCUUUACCGCACAUUUGCCCAAAAUGUCAAAAUUCACAGUUUUCCAUUUCCCUCCCCAAUGCACCUAAAACGUAAAUAUUUAUAUAAAAAGAAAAAAAAGAAAGAAAAAAAAAAUGAAGAACACACGGUUGGCAAAGGCGAAGAAGGACAGGAGAGAAGAGAAAGCUCCUUCAAGUCAAGAGGGGGUCUUCGAUUUUUCUGCGUUUCAGAAAAAAAGAAAAACCCACAGAUUCUCUGUCUCAUCAAAUCAUCCUCAAUCGAGUCUUCACCAAUUAGCUCUCAGCCUAAGAUUUGAUUGAGUUGUGUGUACAAGUACAAGAGCGGAUUUCUAAGCAGCGAGAAGAAGAAGAAGCUUCAAUUGUGAAAUGUUGGGGACCCAGUAGGGUUUUUCCCUUGAUUCCAUUCCGUUCGAUUCAUUCUUUUUUAUCUCAAUUUUGGACUCUGGGUUUUGGGA